rnacentral:rRNA from 1 species
AUGCCUGACUUUGUUGCUUGGCACCCUUUGAAACGUGGCAUAUUUUCUAUCAAGUCAGCCUAUCUAGAUGUUUGGAGGAGCCAAUACGAAUCUAAAGCUCCAAGGACAAACCCCUCGAGCGCUGUUGCACCCAACCAGAUUUGGAAGUUUAUAUGGAAACUGCCAUGUCGUGCUAAGGUGAGGAUCUUCCUCUGGAGAAUACUGCAUGGUACUUUGCCAUGUCGUGUUAGUCUUGCAGAUAGACAUGUGAAAAUUACCACGAAAUGCCUGGCAUGUGAAAGUGCUGAAAGUAUGAAACAUAUGUUAUUCCAAUGCAACAAAGUGAAACAAGUAUGGAGGAGACUGGGUUUGGAGAGUAUCGUUGAGAAAUGA